UGAACUUCUGGAAGGGAAGCAUUUGAUUUAUCCACUGGCCCAUCAUUCCUGAAAGCUUUCAGAGCGCUGAAUGGAGCCGUCAGAAACCAACGUUGACUGCCUUUUUCUGUGGCUCUCCGUGUUACGUUUUGAGAUGGCAUCUCUUGCUGAACCCGGAGUGCAGAUUUGGAUAGACUGUCUGGAAGAGAGCUGUACGGAGCUUUCUCGGCCUCCCCAGUGCCAGGAUGACACACAGCCUUCCCAUAGACCUCUGGGGAGGACCCGGGAGUUACCAACACAGAGCGACUCUGUGAUUCUGUAUCGCACCAUGCAAGGAUACUAG
rnacentral:lncRNA from 1 species